rnacentral:lncRNA from 1 species
UGUGUCCGUUUUUAAGGGGUCUGCGGGGAUUUGGGAUUUGUGUCCGCUGUGUUUUUAUGGGGUCUGCGGGGUUCGGGAUUUGGGAUUUGUGUCCGCUGUGUUUAUGAGUGGGGUGGGCGUGGCUUCGGGAGGGGCGGGGCUACGAAAGCGGAGUGGGCGUGGCUUCAGUAGAGGCGGUUUUAUGAAUGGGGGGCUGGGCUUCAGGUGGGGCCGGUUUAUGAAUGGGGUGGGCGUGGCUUCAGGGGGCCAGUUCUAUGGGGCAGGGAGGUGCGGUGCCCAUCUAUGGGGCAGGGAUGGGGACAGGGAGGUGCUGUGGCAAUUCAGUGGGGCAGGGAGGUGCCCAUUCUAUGGGGCAGGGAGGUGCCCAUCUAUGGGGCAGGGAUGGGGAAAGGGACACACUGUGCCCAUCUAUGGGGCAGGGAGGUGCUGUGCCCAUCUAUGGGGCAGGGAGGUGCUGUGCCCAUCUAUGGGGCGGGGAGGUGCCCAUCUAUGGGGCAGGGAGGUGCCCAUCUAUGGGGCAGGGAGGUGUGGUGCCCAUCUAUGGGGCAGGGAGGUGUGGUGCCCAUCUAUGGGGCAGGGAGGUGUGGUGCCCAUCUAUGGGGCAGGGAGGUGCCCAUCUAUGGGGCAGGGAGGUGCCGUGCCCAUCUAUGGGGCAGGGAGGUGCUGUACCCAUCUAUGGGGCAGGGAGGUGCCGACUUUCUCUCCCCCCACUGCGCAGGACUGCGGACGCAGAGCUGUUCGUCAACACCAACCGAGCGGCCGGGGGGGAGGAAGAGGAGGAGGAGGAGGAAGAGGAGGAAGAACAGGAAGAAGAGGAAGAGGAGGAAGAAGAGGAGGAGGAAGAAGAGGAAGAAG